rnacentral:rRNA from 1 species
GAAUUAGUGGCGAACGGGUGAGUAACACGUGAGUAACCUGCCCUUGACUCUGGGAUAAGCGCUGGAAACGGCGUCUAAUACCGGAUACGAGCUUCAGCCGCAUGGCUAGGAGCUGGAAAGAAUUUCGGUCAAGGAUGGACUCGCGGCCUAUCAGCUAGUUGGUGAGGUAAUGGCUCACCAAGGCGACGACGGGUAGCCGGCCUGAGAGGGUGACCGGCCACACUGGGACUGAGACACGGCCCAGACUCCUACGGGAGGCAGCAGUGGGGAAUAUUGCACAAUGGGCGCAAGCCUGAUGCAGCAACGCCGCGUGAGGGAUGACGGCCUUCGGGUUGUAAACCUCUUUUAGUAGGGAAGAAGCGAAAGUGACGGUACCUGCAGAAAAAGCACCGGCUAACUACGUGCCAGCAGCCGCGGUAAUACGUAGGGUGCAAGCGUUGUCCGGAAUUAUUGGGCGUAAAGAGCUCGUAGGCGGUUUGUCGCGUCUGCUGUGAAAUCUGGGGGCUCAACCCCCAGCCUGCAGUGGGUACGGGCAGACUAGAGUGCGGUAGGGGAGAUUGGAAUUCCUGGUGUAGCGGUGGAAUGCGCAGAUAUCAGGAGGAACACCGAUGGCGAAGGCAGAUCUCUGGGCCGUAACUGACGCUGAGGAGCGAAAGCAUGGGGAGCGAACAGGAUUAGAUACCCUGGUAGUCCAUGCCGUAAACGUUGGGAACUAGAUGUGGGGGCCAUUCCACGGUCUCCGUGUCGCAGCUAACGCAUUAAGUUCCCCGCCUGGGGAGUACGGCCGCAAGGCUAAAACUCAAAGGAAUUGACGGGGG